UACGUAGGGUCCGAGCGUUGUCCGGAAUUAUUGGGCGUAAAGAGCGUGUAGGCGGCCAUGUAGGUCCGGUGUGAAAACUCGAGGCUUAACCUCGAGAUGUCAUCGGAAACCAUUUGGCUAGAGUCCGGAAGAGGAGAGUGGAAUUCCUGGUGUAGCGGUGAAAUGCGCAGAUAUCAGGAAGAACACCAAUGGCGAAAGCAGCUCUCUGGGACGGUACUGACGCUGAGACGCGAAAGCGUGGGGAGCGAACAGG
rnacentral:rRNA from 1 species